GGCAGUUCCUAACACAGAAAUAUAUUGUGGCUGGAUAAAAGAAGACAAAUACAUCUAGUCCUAAGGAAGUGUUAGGCACAUGGAAGGCAAUUGAGCUGUGUUGGAGAUACCACUGAUUCCGGUACAGAGGGAUGUAUAAGUGUAGACAACAUGGAGUUUAACUUAAAGCAUGAAUCAACAAGCAGAUGUGCUGAAAUAGAGAAAAAAGUAUUUGCUGAAAUUCAACCAGAUGGAGAGUGACUGUGCUGGUUUGAAGGAGCAGCUUUUAUACUAAG